rnacentral:rRNA from 1 species
ACAAAGUGUGUAGGUGGAUCCCUUAGGCAAAUCCGGGGGGUUAACACCAAGGCACGGGACCAGGACUCUUUGAGUCUGAAGCUGCUGAUACCACGCUCCCAGGAAAAGCCUCUAAGCUUCAGUUACACGGGACCGUACCGUAAUCGGACACACGUGGGCAGGAUGAAAAUUCUAAGGCGCUUGAGAGAACUCAGGAGAAGGAACUCGGCAAAUUGACACCGUAACUUCGGAAGAAGGUGUGCCCUGGUAGGUUGUAGCCGUACAGGCGAAGGCCGAAGGGGUUGCAAAAAAUCGGUGGCUGCGACUGUUUAAUAAAAACACAGCACUCUGCAAAGAUGAUGAAUCGACGUAUAGGGUGUGACGCCUGCCCGGUGCCGGAAGGUUAAAUGAUGGGGUGCAAGCUCUUGAUUGAAGCCCCGGUAAACGGCGGCCGUAACAAUAACGGUCCUAAGGUAGCGAAAUUCCUUGUCGGGUAAGUUCCGACCUGCACGAAUGGCGUAACGAUGGCCACACUGUCUCCUCCUGAGACUCAGCGAAGUUGAAGUGUUUGUGAUGAUGCAAUCUACCCGCGGCUAGACGGAAAGACCCCGUGCACCUUUACUGUAGCUUUGCAUUGGACUGUGAUGGGAUCUGUGUAGGAUAGGUGGGAGCCUGUGAAGCGGUGGCGCUAGCCAUCGUGGAGGCAACGUUGAAAUACCACCCUGAUGUCAUUGCGGUUCUAACCUUGGCCCCUAUAGCGGGGUUGGGGACAGUGCAUGGUAGGCAGUUUGACUGGGGCGGUCUCCUCCCAAAGAGUAACGGAGGAGCUCGAAGGUACGCUAGGUACGGUCGGACAUCGUGCUGAUAGUGCAAUGGCACAAGCGUGCUUGACUGCGAGACUGACAAGUCGAGCAGGUGCGAAAGCAGGACAUAGUGAUCCGGUGGUUCUGAAUGGAAGGGCCAUCGCUCAACGGAUAAAAGGUACGCCGGGGAUAACAGGCUGAUUCCUCCCAAGAGUUCAUAUCGACGGGGGAGUUUGGCACCUCGAUGUCGGCUCAUCACAUCCUGGGGCUGUAGCCGGUCCCAAGGGUAUGGCUGUUCGCCAUUUAAAGUGGUACGUGAGCUGGGUUUAAAACGUCGUGAGACAGUUUGGUCCCUAUCUGCCGUGGGCGUUGGACGUUUGAGGGGGGCUGCUCCUAGUACGAGAGGACCGGAGUGGACGAACCUCUGGUGUACCGGUUAUCACGCCAGUGGUAUUGCCGGGUAGCUAAGUUCGGGAGAGAUAAGCGCUGAAAGCAUCUAAGUGCGAAACUUGCCCCAAGAUGAGACGUCCCUGGAGGUUAACUCCACUAAAGGGUCGCGGAAGACCACCGCGUUGAUAGGUCGGGUGUGGAAGCGCAGUAAUGCGUUAAGCUAACCGAUACUAAUUGCCCGUGCGGCUUGAUCCC